GAAUGCAGAGGGAGAGAAAUAGAAACAUCAAUGAUGAGAGAGAAUCAUUGAUUGGCUGUCUCUUGCACACCCUCCACUGGAGAUUGAGCCUGCAACCUGGGCAUGUGCCCUGACUGGAAAUUGAACCAUGACCUUCUGGUUCCUAGGUUGAUGCUCAACCACGGAGCCACACAGUUUACAGAACUGAAUGACCUUCACUACACUCCAGUUACAUAUUUUCAUCACUCUAGUAAGAUUUCUUCUGCCUGUUGAUGGUUAAUCCCCAUUCUCAUCCCCAACCUCAGGCAACCACUAAUCUUUUUUCUGUUUCUAAAUAGUUGCCUUUUGUCUACUUUUUAUAUCAGUGGAGUCAUAUAUGUGGUCUUUUGUAUCUGGCUUCCAUCAUUUAGUAUAAAUGGGUUGUUUGUACUUUUUGGCUAUUAUGAAUAAAACUGCUGUGAACAUUGUCUUGCAAGA